GAUUUGUUGUUGUCUGUUGUCCUUACCCUUACGGACGCUCCGGGAUAUCACCAACACUCUUCAGAUCCAGGAAGAGCAGCAAGACGUGGGGGGGGGGACUCAAGGGAGCAGGCGG